UGAUGAAGUAGUAGACCCUUGCUCCUCUCUUCCUGGAAGGUUCAUGUUGGAGUUGGAAAAACCUGAAGAAGAAAAAAAAAUCAAUCAAGUCAAAACAGUGACAUUUGGCCUCCAUGUGAUGACAUGGUGGAAGGAAGGCAAGCAUCUGCCAUGUCCAACCCCGCAGGACACAAACCAAAGCAGCUGCAAUGCUCAGCCACAGGGGGAGUGAUGGGAGCCUGGUGCUGACGCCAGGACAGAGAGCAGCGGAAGCAGCAGGAGAACUGUUAAUCCAUACGGUACGUAGGCCUGCUUAGAUCUCACCGCUGUGGAGAUGAAUUUAGAACAGAGGGUCAGCUGCCCCUUCAACACACUGCCUUCAUUUCCAUUACAGCAUGCUCUCAGGCAGCUCCGAUAACCUCGAAUUCUGCAACCUAAACAUGGUCUAGAGCUAACACAGAGAACAUGGCAUGAAACAUGACACCUCACAGGACACCCCUUUCACUCAAGAUGAUGGACAGGUCAUCUCAUUAAUAAAGCAAGAGUUGAAACUGAGUCAACACAGAGUCUCCUCCCAGCUCUGCACUCAGAUUCUCCCUCUAGUUUUCACUGCUAUCAGAAUGAACAUGCUGACAUACAGUAAGACCAUUCACAGAUCCACAUUUGUUUGUAUGAUGGAACUCUUUGAUGUCAUGUGAUGUAUUA